UACGUAGGGUGCAAGCGUUAAUCGGAAUUACUGGGCGUAAAGCGUGCGCAGGCGGUUGUGCAAGACAGAUGUGAAAUCCCCGGGCUCAACCUGGGAAUUGCAUUUGUGACUGCACGGCUAGAGUGUGUCAGAGGGGGGUAGAAUUCCACGUGUAGCAGUGAAAUGCGUAGAUAUGUGGAGGAAUACCGAUGGCGAAGGCAGCCCCCCUGGGAUAACACUGAC
rnacentral:rRNA from 1 species